AAUCAACGCUGGCGGCGUGCCUAACACAUGCAAGUCGAACGCGAAAGUGGAGCAAUCCAUGAGUAGAGUGGCAAACGGGUGAGUAACACGUGGGUGACCUGCCUUCGAGCGGGGGAUAACGUCCCGAAGGGACGCUAGUACCGCAUAACAUGCCGCCUUUUAACAGGUGGACAUCAAAGCUGGGGAUCGCAAGACCUAGCACUUGAAGAGGGGUCCGCGCCUGAUUAGCUAGUUGGUGAGGUAACGGCUCACCAAGGCUUCGAUCAGUAGCCGUCCUGAGAGGGAGCACGGCCACACUGGAACUGAGACACGGUCCAGACUCCUACGGGAGGCAGCAGUGGGGAAUUUUUGGCAAUGGGCGAAAGCCUGACCAAGCAACGCCGCGUGGGUGAUGAAGUAUCUUGGUACGUAAAACCUUUCGGCAGGGACGAACCCAAUGACGGUACCUGCGGAAGAAGCCCGGCUAACUCCGUGCCAGCCGCCGCCGUAAU
rnacentral:rRNA from 1 species